AUGGAGAUGGUCUUAAAGAGCAAUGAUGACAGGGGGCACCGGGAAAUGAAGGCCUUAGUUCUGAAUCUUCUCAAGGAUAGCAGCCGUUGCACAGAUGGAACAUCAGAAUCUGUUCUGAAUUAUUUUACGGCUCGUGUCGAGGUUGCUUGGAAAGACUUCAGCCACUCUUUGUGGAAGCAUCUGAAGCCGGUUUUCUCGUGUCGAGGUUGCUUGGAAAGACUUCAGCCACUCUUUGUGGAAGCAUCUGAAGCCGGUUUUCCUUCCCAAGUUACAUGCCAAAUAACUCUGGAGACUGACAAUAUCCUCUGGUUGGUUGAGAUAUUGGUUAACCAAUGA
rnacentral:rRNA from 1 species